CACGUAGGGGGCGAGCGUUGUCCGGAUUUAUUGGGCGUAAAGAGCUCGUAGGCGGCUAAGUAAGUCAGGUGUGAAAACUCCAGGCUCAACCUGGAGACGCCACCUGAUACUGCUUUGGCUAGAGUCCGGUAGGGGAGCAUGGAAUUCCUGGUGUAGCGGUGAAAUGCGUAGAUAUCGAGAGGAACACCUGCGGCGAAGGCGGGUUGCUGGGCUGACACUGACGCUGAUGCGCGAAAGCCAGGGGAGCGAACGGG
rnacentral:rRNA from 1 species